AUUGAACGCUGGCGGCAGGCCUAACACAUGCAAGUCGAACGAGUGGCGGACGGGUGAGUAAUGUCGGGGACACUGCCUGAUGGAGGGGGAUAACUACUGAAAACGGUAGCUAAUACCGCAUACCCUCAGAUGUGCCCAUAUGGGAUUAGCUCGUAGAUGGGGUAAAGGCUCACCUAGGCGACGAUCCCUAGCUGGUCUGAGAGGAUGACCAGCCACACUGGGACUGAGACACGGUCCAGACUCCUACGGGAGGCAGCAGUGGGGAAUAUUGCACAAUGGGCGCAAGCCUGAUGCAGCCAUGCCGCGUGUAUGAAGAAGGCCUUCGGGUUGUAAAGUACUUUCAGUGGGGAGGCGUUACCGGCAGAAGAAGCACCGGCUAACUCCGUGCCAGCAGCCGCGGUAAUUC
rnacentral:rRNA from 1 species